ensembl:lncRNA TMEM9B-AS1 TMEM9B antisense RNA 1
AGUGCGAAGGGCCGGGAGGCUGGGCAGUCCUGGUGCCCGCCUUGGCCUAGCCCCGGCCCCGGGACGGAAGGGGGCCUCUGGGGUGGCAGCCUGGGCCCAGUAGAGCUUUGCAUCUCUUGGAUAUCUUUCCCGGGCGCAGAAGCUGCGGGGCUUAGGGAGUCGCCAUUGCGCUGGAAAGUCCUCCCGCCCACGGAGACCCCAGCAAACUCCGAGUGUCACACAGUCGCCUCUGGCGACCCGUGCGGGCCGGAGCCGUUCGCGCACAGGCAGGGCGGGUGCUGAGCGUGGAAACGGGGCUGGAAUUGGCCGAGCCAUGCCUUUCCGGGAUGCCCACCGCCAGUCAAAGGGUUGGGGGUGGUCUCUGCACCUUAAGUACUAACCUGCCGCCCACGCGCCUCCUGACCACAGCACCCCGUCGGCUUUCUAAUUCUGUGAGCUGCCCUCGUGGGCGUGGCCUCCCUGUGGAGCUCCCCAUGUGCCUCCCCUUGGUCCAGCCUGCAGCUAGGAAGUGGGUCACAGCGACGGGGCUGGGCUGGGCCAGGCCAGGCUCCGGGAGAUGUGGAAUUGGCGAAACAACUGCCCCAGUAGUAUCCUCCGCCUAGGACUCCAAGAGGUGGCGAAUUGGGGCACUACGCCCGGGAACCAGGGUGGCAGGGCUAGAUGUCCUCUCACCAGACUGCCCAGUGAAGGUGCUGUCACUUUGAUGAAUUAUCAAGGCUUUGUAGUGGGUCUUCUACUGGACAAAGGACAAACUGGAGACUCCCUGGAUCAAAUGUGUUGAAAAUGUUAUAGUGCUGUCAGGAAGUGCUGUUCUGGAAUACAGAAUGUGGCUGCCGUGAGUGGAGUGUGACUAUGAGAUAGUCGCCUGACUGGAGACAAUGAAGCCUCAGGCCAAGGAUGCUCCCUCCUACUCAGCCCUGUUUAGUGGGAUUUUUCAGCCCACUGUAAAGCCUACUGCUGCCUGUAAAGCCACCUAAGUGCAUCACUUGCUGGUGUUCACCAUGAUAACAACAAUUUAUGGGGACAGAAUAUGUUUCUAGAGCUGCUGGUGCCACUGCUGAUGUUACUGGGUUCCCUGAAAUAAAACACCACAGUGCAGGUGAGUACCAAAGUGGGGAGAAUUUUUAGUUCCUUUUAGAGGUGCUAAAUCAAUAUUGUUGAUUUCCCAGUACCUUAGAAUAUUUAAUGAAAACAGGUCAGGUGCAGUGGCUCACGCCUGUAAUCCCAGCACUUUGGGAGGCCAAGGCAGGUAGAUCACUUGAGGUCAGGAGUUCAAGAACAGCCUGGCCAACAUGGUGAAACCCCAUCUCUACUAAAAAUACAAAAAUUAGCAGGGCGUGGUGGCAGGCACCUGUAAUCCCAGCUACUCCGGAAGCUGAGGCACCAGAAUCGCUUGAACUCAGGAGGCGGAGGUUGUAGUGAGUCGAGAUCAUGCCACUGCACUCCAGCCUGGGCGCAUGGUGGCUCAUGCCUAUAAUCCCAGCACUUUGGGAGGCUGAGGCAGUCAGAUCACUUGAGGUCAGGAGUUCAAGAACAGCCUGACCAACAUGGUGAAACCCCAUCUCUACUAAAAAUAGAAAAAGUUAGCCAGGCGUGGUGGCAGGCGCCUGUAAUCCCAGCUACUCAGGAGGCUGAGGCAUAAGAAUCCUUGAACCCAGGAGGCGGAGGUUGCAGUGAGCUGAGAUUGCACCAUUGCACUCCAGCCUGGGCAACAAUAGCGAAACUCCGUCUCAAAACAAACAAACAAACAAAACAAAAAAACUUAAUGAAUACAGUCCCUCCUAAGAUUUUCAAAUAAAUGAAAUACCACAUUAAUCAUAUUGUUUUAUUUUUAUCAUUACAUUAAAAAUCAAAUAGUAUCACUAGGUUUAUAAUGAAAAACAGCAGACCCUGUCCCAGCCCUCCACACUCUCAGUUUCUACUCCCUAGAUAUAAUCUCUAUUCACCCAGCUACCUCUUCUGGUAUUUAUCUCCGUAUUUCUAAAUAGCAUGCUUAUACUACUAAUUCUUAAUUUUUCAGUUUGGGCCAUUAUUUUACUUUUUCUAUAGGAAAUAAGAUAUGUGUUUAUACUCUGAAGACUGGUAAUACACACAUGUAUUUCUCCAUCUUCCAUCCUUCAGUUUAUCUAUAUCACCCUAUAUAGGUAGAGUACUAUUCAUUAUACUAUUAUAAAGGUAUGUAAUUGAUCCAGUUAGCAUAAUAUGAUUAUAUUUCCUUUAUUUUGAUUGAAGUUAACUAUUGCCUCUUUCUCCAUGCAACUUUCUUAAGUACCUAGCAUUCAAGUGUCUAUAAUCAAUUUAUUCCAAACUGUCCUUUCAAAACAUUGAAACACAUCAAGUAGUCUAUCAAUCAGUUUAUUUUUUAAAUUGGAGACAACUCUCUAGGAGCCCAUCAUCCUCCUUCACUGUGGACUAGUUUUUCUCUAAGCCUACUGCACAGCUUUUGUCCUGAAAUAAUUUUAUCCUUUCUACCCUGUUUUCCACUUCUUUUUGUUUUUCUGAAAGAUUUCCACCUUCCAGCUUUUCUUUUGAAUUUUAAAAUUUCUGUUAUGUUUUAAAUUUGCCAGAAUACUUUCUUGUCAACCUCUCUUUUAAUUAAAAAUAUUUUUUAUUUUUGUAAUUUAAAGGUUUAUUGUAAAUUGACAAGUACAAAUUGGAUAUAUUUAUGGGGUACAAAGUGAUGUUAUAUGUAUACAAUGUGGAAAGAUUAAAUCAAGCUAAUUAACAUAUCCAUCACUACAAAUACUUCUUUGUGGUGAGAAUACUUGACAUUUACCUUCAGCAAUUUUGAAAUAUACAGUACAUUAUUAUUAACCAUGCUAUACUCUUUAUCUCAAAAAAUGUAUUCCCUUUAUCUAACUGAAACUUCGUACUCUAACCAACAUCUCCUUGUUUCCCCUACCACCCCUUCCCCCUACUCUCUGAUAACCAUCAUUCUACUCUGAUUCUGUGAGUUUGUUUUAGAUUCUACAUUAGGAAUCAUGUGACUUUGUCUGUCUGUGCCUGGCUUAUUCCAUUCAGCAUAACGUCCUCCAGGGAAGCACUUUCUUGUCCACCCCCUUCCCCUUUUUAAAUAGCAGUCUGUUCCAUUUGGUGGAUGCAGUAUCUUAUUACUCUAAGAAUAUUGCUAAUGUUUUCUUUUGUUUCUUGAAUUGUCUGUGUUGAAUUUUUAAGGCUUGUUUCUGUUUUGUGUUGGAAGCUUUUCUUAAACGUCUAGAGAUCCUUGGCCAUCCAUUCAUAUGUAAGAGUGGGGCACUAGAAAGCCAAUAGAAAGUUCUGUGUACACUGGCCAGUGAGGUGGCUCACACCUGUAACCCCAGCACUUUGGAAGGCCAAGGCAGGCAGAUCACUUGAGGUCAGGAGUUCAAGACCAGCCUUGCCAACAUGGUGAAACCCCAUCUCUACUAAAAAUACAAAAAUUAGCCGGGCUGGUGGCGCACGCCUGUAAUCCUUGCUACUUGGGAGGCUGAGGCUUGAGAAUCUCUUGAACCCGGGAGGCAGAGGUUGCAGUGAGCUCUCCAGCCUAGGCAACAGACCAAAACUCUGUCUCAAAAAAAAAAAAAGUUCUGUGUACAUACUUAGGACUUGUAAUUGGUAGGACAUACUGCAGUAUUUUUCAAACUUCUGGUCGCAAACCCAUUAGUAGUUUGUGAAAUCAAUAUAAUCAGUUUUAUUUCCCCCAAAUGACAGAACAGAAUAGAAAACACCACCUCAGAAUACAUCUACAUAGAAAGAGAAUUAUUUUAUGAAACUUUGGUUUCUUACACAUAUCAUAUAUACAUAUUAUGUACUGGUUUGAUCCCAUAAAAUGGGAGUUUUUUUUUUUUAUUGUGGGUGUUUCUUCAAAGAAAUUUGAAAAAGUACAACUUAGGAUAAUCAAAGAGAUCUCCAACUGUCAGGACAGGUAGGUCUUUUCUCUUAGAGAGGUUAAGUUCCGGCCCAGUGCGGUGGCUCAUGCCUGUAAUCCCAGCACUUUGGGAGGCUGAGGCGGGCAGAUCAUGAGGUCGGGAGAUUGAGACCAUCCUGGCUAACAUGGUGAAACCUCAUCUCUUCUAAGAAUACAAAAAAUAAGUCAGGCAUGGUGGCACGCGCCUGUAAUCCCAGCUACUCGGGAGGCUGAGGCAGGAGAAUCAUUUGAACUCGGGAGGCGGAGAUUGCCACUGCACUCCAGCCUGGGCGAC